GCAAAAGUAAUUGUCACGGUUAGAGUUGGCUGUAACACAUAUCCAUGAGUCAAGAUUCUGAGUCAGUAGAAGUAUCUUCCGAAUAUAUAUCCUUGUCAUUACAAGGUUCAUGGUCUACAUCACCUGAAUCGUCAUCUUUUUUUUUCAUUUUUCUACAACUGCGCUUCCCCAUGAAUGCUAAUUAUAUUACUGUCGCUGAAUUUAGUGAAAAUAUAAUAUUUUAUUCAAUAAUAAGAAUUGAUAGAGAUAGUUUUAAUAAAUUAAUAAAAAAAAUUUAAAAAA